CUGGAAAUUUGUAGCUUUUGCGCCAGUUACCUGCUACGUGACAGCUGCCGCCGGUGGAGUAUCGAUAUAUCGAUAUAUCGGUAUGCGCAAGCUCGCUUGCGCUCCCCACCACUAAUUAGCGAUCAGCUGCUCGCAACAAGCAAAGCAGAGUGCGAAAAUGGGAAAAAUUGUUUUUGUCUUCCCAAAGAAGAGAGCGCGAAAAACCCGUGGCCUCCUCGCUUCUCCUCCCCUCCUCAGUGUAUGGAGCGGCGCCCAGCGACUGGAUUCCGCGCCGGGAGACUCACCCUGAACGCGUAUGUCGGUCUGGCUCGGUACGUACCCCUUCCUGUCGGGCACCUUCUCACUUUUACCUUUUUCCAGGCAGUUUCACGCACGGAAAAUGAAUUAGACGCUGGAGGAAAAACAAGCGCGUCCGAUCGCUUUCACUCUUCACAACUCUUCGUCUGAGUGUGAUGUGUGGUGUGAUGUGUGUGUGAUGCGUGUGAUGGUGCUGAUGCUGUAUGCUGCGGUGUGCGUGGCGCCGGUGCGUGGUGCGUAUGUGAUGUGUGUGUGAUGAGAGUGUCGCGGGUGUGAUGGGUGGUGCGCUGUGCCGCUGCGGUGUGCGGGGCGCCGGUGCGUUGUGCGGUGUGCCGGUGCGGUGUGCGGUGUGCGGUGUGUUCCCUUAGAUUGGGCACUCUGCUCCUCCCGAGGUGCUCCGGCCGUGCCAGCCUUGGCGCUGACCCUGCUGUCGGCUCUCUGCGUGUUGUCCGCUGCUGUCGUCUUCUCCUUCCAGCGCCGUCGUCGCCUCGCUUCACGAUUUUCGGUUUCGUUUUGUUAGCUUUUGGGCACUGAUUUUAAUUUUCUCCUUUUUUUUUCUUUUACUUUAGAUUGCCGACCGACCUCUUGGAAUUCUUCCCGGAAAACUGACCUUCUCAAUAUAACCUUCACGGCCACGUUCCCUUCUAUCCUUCUUGUCACCUUGCAACCCUUUUUCAGCCUCCUCGGAUCCACAGCAGAGGCCGCUGUCUGGUCUUCUUCUCCAGCCCUGUCGGUUAUCGGCUACCUCAGAAAGCCGUCCAUAACAAUUUUUAUAGCGUUCUACUUCUGCUCGCAAUCUCUCUCCUUUUUCUCACUUGCACCGAAUGCCGGCAAGAUCCAGCUAUCGCUCGCUGGUCCACAAUAGUUUAUCGAUAGUUAAUGUUUAUGGUAGCCUAACUAACUACUAAACAAUCAAAAACUUAAACUACUUAACACUAUUUAAAAAUCGAUAGUUAACAUUAGUUACCUGACCUUUUGAUCGUUCGCUGUAGCGAUUAAA
rnacentral:lncRNA from 1 species